rnacentral:tRNA from 1 species
GGGACGGUAACUCAGCUGGGAGAGUGCCAGACUGAAGAUCUGGAAGUCGCCGGUUCAAGCCCGGCCCGUCCCA